GUAUCUAUUGGAUUUUAAAUUUAUCAAACAUGGACACCAAGUCUCUGACCUUCUAGAGGUAUUUCACCAUAUUCUCUCCUUGGGCCUCAUAAUUAACCUGAAUAUACCCAACGGCCAGCUGAGAGUCACUGCAAGCCUUUAAGUUUCGUAUACCUAGUUUCUUGGCUAUCCAAAGUCCUAUGGCUAAGGCUUUGUAUUCGGCUUCAUUAUUUAUUGCUGGAAACUCAAAGCACAAGGCAUACUCAGCUACUGUCCCUUCUGGAUCCGAGAGGAUCAGUCCUACCCC
rnacentral:lncRNA from 1 species